rnacentral:rRNA from 1 species
AUGAACGCUGGCGGCGUGGAUAAGGCAUGCAAGUUGAGCGCCUGGUUGUAGAUUUUAAUUUAUGAUUAGGAGCAGCAGACGAGGUAGUAAUACAUGGGAAUCUGCCCUAAAGUCAAGAAUAGCCCAUUGAAAGAUGGAGUAAUACUUGAUAGUCCCUUCGGGGUAAAGUUUUAACGCUUUAGGAGGAGCCCAUGGGAUAUCAGCUAGUUGGUGGUGUAAUAGACCACCAAGGCUAUGACGUCUAGGGGAGGUGAGAGCCUGACCCCCACCGAUGGAACUGAGACACGGUCCAUACACCUACGGGUGGCUGCAGUCGAGAAUCUUCCGCAAUGGGCGAAAGCCUGACGGAGCGACGCCGCGUGAUUGAUGAAGCUCUUAGGAGCGUAAAGGUCUUUUAUCAGGGAGGAAGUUUAUUGACGUUACCUGAUGAAUAAGGGGUUGCUAAACUCGUGCCAGCAGCAGCGGUAAUACGAGUGCCCCAAGCGUUAUCCGGAAUUAUUGGGCGUAAAGGGUGUGUAGGUGGUUUCGUUAGUCUUUUGUUAAAGCCUUCGGCUUAACCGAAGAAAUGCAAAAGAAACGGCGGAACUAGAGGAUGUGAGGGGUGUACGGAACUCAUGGUGUAGGGGUGAAAUCCGUUGAUAUCAUGGGGAACACCAAAAGCGAAGGCAGUACACUGGCACAUUCCUGACACUGAGACACGAAAGCGUGGGUAGCGAAAGGGAUUAGAUACCCCUGUAGUCCACGCCCUAAACGAUGUUCUCUAGCUUUUUGGAGAAUCGACCCUCUGAGAGGCACAGCUAACGCGUUAAGAGAACCGCCUGGGGAGUACGGCCGCAAGGCUAAAACUCAAAGGAAUAGACGGGGACUCGCACAAGCGGUGGAUCAUGUGGCUUAAUUCGACGAUAAACGAAGAACCUUACCAAGACUAGAAACUCUAGUGACAAUUUUGGGAGACCAUUGUUUUCCUUCGGGACACUAGAGCAGGUGAUGCAUGGCCGUCGUCAGUUCGUGGCUUGAGUUGUUCCCUUAAGUGGGGUAACGAACGCAACCCUCGUCAGCCUGUUAUACGUGUCAGGCGAGACUGCCCAGCCUAAGCUUCAGGAAUUUUUAAUUUCGUGAGACUUAGGCUGGGAGGAAGGAGAGGAUGACGCCAGGUCAGCAUGUCCCUUGAUGUCUUGGGCCGCACACAUGAUACAAUGGCUAUUACAACGGGUAUUGCGACGGGGUAACCCUGAGCUAAUCCUAAUAAAGAUAGCCCCAGUUCGGAUUGAGGUCUGAAACUCGACCUCAUGAAGUUGGAAUCGCUAGUAAUCGCAGGUCAGAUAUACUGCGGUGAUACAUUCUCGAGUCUGCACUCACCGC